rnacentral:rRNA from 1 species
GCGUUGACGGGAGCGGGGGAUUAGGGUUCGAUUCCGGAGAGGGAGCCUGAGAAAUAGCUACCACUUCUACGGAGGGCAGCAGGCGCGCAAAUUGCCCAAUGUCAAAAAAAAAGAUGAGGCAGCGAAAAGAAAUAGAGCCGACGGUGCCUAGUGCAUUGUCGUAUUCAAUGGGGGAUAUUUAAACCCAUCCAAAAUCGAGUAACUAUUGGAGGACAAGUCUGGUGCCAGCACCCGCGGUA